AGAGAGAGAGGGAGACACAGAAUCCGAAGCAGGCUCUAGGCUCUGAGCUGUCAGCACAGAGCCCGGCGUGGGGCUCGAACUCAUGAACUGCAAGAUUGUGACCUGAGCCAAAGUUGGACGCUUGACCGACUGAGCCACCCAGGUGCCCCCUGAAUGGUACUAUUCUAUACAGUUUAGACUCAGCCAAACAUCUAAGUCUUUCAUAAUAUGCUUGCAGAUAGGGUGUAGAAAUAAAAGGGUUGAUUCAUCAUAGAUUGAGCAAUCCUUACGCAAAGACUAUUGAUUAAAUCAUCGUUGUCAACUUGAAAGAAGUUAACACGCCUCAGGGCUUUGAAUUUGGGCUUGCCUCGUUCAACAUUUUUAUAAACUAUUUGGAAAAAGACAAGUAAAAUGUGCCGCUUAUGUUUUCAGGUAUUACAGAGUGAGGCAGGAGAGCCAAGAAGUUGGAUUAUAAAAUCAGAAUUCCCAGAGGUCUCCGACAGGCUGAAAUGAUAGGCCAGAACUCACGACGUGGAAAUGGGUGGAAGCGAACAGCAUAACAUCCUGCCCAGGUGCCAAAUGGGAGAGAGCAGGCCUGGAACCAGUUAAUGCAGAAAAGCUUUCGGUGAGCUACGGAUUUAAGGUAAGUCAGCAGUCCGCCCGCUCUGCCGAAAAGGCAAUGCAAAGACCUCAGUCUGCAGUUGUAACAAACAGAGCUCAGACCCACGGAGAUCUUGAUCUGAUGGAUCCCACACUGUGAAUCUGUGGAUCCCUAGAAUGAUUGACAGAGUCCUCUAGGAGCAGAAUACCUGCGAACUCCCAGAUGAUACAAUUCUCUGUAUAUAACUUUCCCGAGUGACCCAUCUAGUAAUUCUAUCCAAAAAGAAGAAGAAGGAAAAAAAAAAAAAGAGAGAGAGAUGAGUUUGUUUGAUUCUUUAUUUGUUCAAAUGAUAUUUAUUGAGAAAAAAAAAUAUUUGCCGGGUAUUCUGCUAAAAGCCAGUGACAUGGAGGUGAUUGGGACAUAUCCACCUUCUCCCAGUUAUUCAUUCAAACCCUAAUAGAGCGUCAAGAGAUCUGGUCGAUGUAAUUAAGGUUCCAGAUCAGUUGGCCUUACGAUAGGGUCGGACCCCAAUUGCAUGAGUACUUGAAACGCAGAGAGUUUUUUCGGGUUGGUGGCAUAAGAGUGAGUUGGAGGUUCAAAGCAUAAGAAGGAUUCUAUGCACCAUUGCUCACUGGAAGGUGAAGGGGGGCCACACGGUAGGAGUGCAGGUGGCCUCUGGUUGCUGAGAGGGACCCCCAGCUGAGAAGUCAGCAAGGAAACAGAGACCUCAGCCCUACAACCACGAGGCAAUGGAUUUAGCCACAAGAAUCAGCUUAGAGGACGACCCAGAGCCCCAGCGAACCACAGCCCCAGCCAACACCUUAAUUUAAGCCCAGUGAGACCCUGAGCACAGGAUGCAUCCACACCACACCCAGGCUUCUGACCUACAGAAAUUGGGUAAUAAACUCGCGGUUGUUUUACAAUACUUUGCGCCAAUUUAUUUACAGCAAUAGAAAGCUAACACAGGUGAUAAAGAAACAACAGCCACACAAUGAGCCAACAGUCGCCUAACUGGUGCCAACGUACAAGAUGCUGUCAAAGUCCAGGGGAAGAUGUACGUCACAAGCCGAGUCAGGAAAGAAAAAGCAAAAGAAAAGAAGGUAGGCCCAGAAGAGUUUAUGGAGUGCUUUCACAUCGUAUUUAAAAAAAAAAAAAACCAACUCUCUUAAAUUUCAAAAUGUGUGAUACAAUAUUAUUAAGUACAGUCACCAAUGCCGUACGUCACAUCCCCAUGACUUAUUUAUUUCCUAACUGAAAGUUUGUAGCUUUUGACCCCCUUCAUCCAUUUUGCCCACCCCCUGCCCCCUCCCACCUCUGGCAACCACCAAUCUGUUCUCCGUAUACCUAUGAGCUUGGUUUUUUUAUUCGUUUGUUUUUUUAGGUUCCGUAUCUAAGUGAGAUCAUACGGUAUUUGUUUUUCUCUAACUUAUUUCCCUUAGCCUAACUCUCUCGAGAUCCAUCCAUGUUGUCACAAAUGGCAAGAUUUCCAUCUUAUUUAUGGCUGAAUAAUAUCCCGCUGUGUCCACACGACAUCUUCUUUAUCCAUCCAUCUGUCGGUGGACACUUAGGUUGUUUCCAUAGUUGGCUAUUGUGAAUAACACUGCGUGUCUUCUUAAGUUUAUGUUCUUAUUUGUUUCCGAUAAAUGUCCAGAAGUGGAAUUGCUGAAUCCUAUGGUAGUUCUAGUUUUCAUUUUUUGAGGAACCUCCAUACUGCGUUCCAGAGCGGCCGCACCAAUUUACAUUCCCACCAACAGCGCACAAGGGCUCCUUUCCCCCACAUCCUUGCCAACGCUUAUUAUUUCUUGUCUUUUUUGGUGAUGCCAUUCUGACGGGUGUGAGGUGACACCUCGUUGUGGUUUUGACUUGCAUUUCUCUGAUGAUGAGCGAUGUUGAGCAUCUCUUCCCGUGUCUGUUGGCCAUCUGGAUUCUUCCUUGGGGAAGAAAAUGUCUAUUCGGAUCUGUGCAUUUUUUUGAUUAGCUUUUUUUUUUCUUUUGCUACUCAGUUGUAUCCAUUCUUUAUAUAUUUUGGAUAUUAACCCCUUCUCAGAUAUAGCAUUUGCUGAUUUGUUUUGUAGUAUUGGUUUUUGCCCAUUCUGUAGGUUGCCAUUUUUUGUUGAUGGUUUCCUUCGCCGUGCAGAAACGUUGUGGUUUGAUGUGGUCCUGCUGUUUAUUUUUGCUUGUGUUCCUUUUGCUCUUAAAGGUGUCAGUCACAUCACACCUUUGAUCCUAAGCACCCUGGAAGAAGAUACUAUUAUCUUCACCUUACAUCUCAGGAAAGUUAACGGCUUGUCCAUUGUUAUGAGACAAGGAUGGGUCAAGUUCAAACCCCGGGCUUCUGAUACCAGAUAGGCUCCCCCCACCCCCACUCUUUAUUUGAACCAUGACUUCUUUUAUAUCAAAAAAUAUAUAUAUAACAUAUAAUCUAUAUAUAAAUAUAUAUAAUAUAUAAUUUUAUGCUCAAAAAUAUUUGAUAUACUAGACAAAAGUUCAAAAUUUUGAGUGAAGGGUCCGAGGUUUCCCAUAAGCCCACCUCUACUGUCACUCCAAAAGAUACAGCCUCAUCUUUCCAGAAAAUCACUCCAGCCGGGACUUUCCUGAGGUUUCCCCCACUUAUACUUCCUUGUUGGUUUUUUCCCUGUUUCUUCACCAUUAUUUUAUCAAGGCCCAGUUUAUUCCUGAAAUUACAUACGGUAGCCCAAGUUUUUGGUGAUUUUUCUUCCUCUUAACUCAGAGCAUUUACGAUGCGCAUGUUGCCAGACGCACUUAAGCCUCACCAGAUGGGGCCCGAAUAGUAGUCAUUCUGAAAGAGCUCACCACGUUGGUCCCCACCUGCUUAUCCAGGUGUAUGCUUAUCACCGUCCCCCUUCUCUUUCUGGGUCUCCUCACUGAGGUCUUCCUCUGGGGACACUUCACCCCCAUUCCUGCAACCCCUCUCACCACGAGAACUCCACUGGCUGCACCAAGCGGUCCGCCCUGAAAACAGAAGGACACCUUUCCUAGUCUGUCCCUCUCGGUCACCUGGAAACCAAAGCAGCUUUGCACGUGCCUGGGCACUCAUACAUCCCGUACCCCGAAGACAGAGCCCAGCAAACACCAGCUUCUUCUGCCUCCGUCUGCAGCCCCUUUCCUAAUGUGGCUUUGCUGUGGAGGCACAGACGCCAUGCUGCUCCUCUAGUCUUUGUCUCUAUUUCUAGAAAUGAUAUCAGCCACCGGGUUUUGGAUGCUUACUCUGGGCCAGACGUUAUGCUAAGCACCUGCCAAGCUACCUCAUUUAGUCCUUACCACCGCCAGAUUGGGCAGGUAUCCUCAUGAGGCACCUUUUACAAGAUGGUCUCUUACAGCUAAAAAAGCUUACGGAGCUUGGGUAAGGUCCUACAGCUGAUCCAAGAGGUCCUUGCUUAAUCCACACAUACGCUGCUCUCAAGGUACUACAGUAACAACUUCCUCCUGUCUCCCGCGGUCAAAAUCAAAAGCCCUUUGAAAAUGAGCUCAUGCAAGGCGGUCCCUCUAGCACCUGGUCUGCAGACACCCUCUGACAUGCUGCACGUAUUAUUACAAGUCAUUGUGAACAUGCAUCGAGUGCUCGUUAUGUUCUAAACACUUUGCAUUAUUAAUGCACGAAUCCUCAAAAUGACCCUGGUUAGGUAAGUACUGUUAUUGUUCCUUAUUUCACAGAUGAAACACACACACACACACACACACACACACACACACACACACACAAGCAAAGGCACUGAAUGGUUAAUUAACAUGCCUGAGGUCGCACAGCUAAUGAGCAGCAGAGCUAUGAUGAGGACACAGGCAGUCUGGUGCCAGAGCCCAUGCCCUCACCCCCUCUGCUACUGAUUACUGCAUAUCUACCGUGUUCCCAUGUUUUCUCUAAUCUUCCCAACGUUCCUGCAAGAGGGCUAUGGCCCCAGUUUUAUAACCAAGCAACCUGAACAUCAGAGAGAGGAAAUAAACUUGCCUAAGCUCUUGGUCACUAAAUGGAAACAUCCAGAUCCCCACCAGGUCUACCCUGUCUGUCUUUUCCUGCGUGUUUUUUUGUUUUGUUUUUUUUCUGUAGCCCCAAGCAGGUUCCCUACUCCAUCCUCCCAGCAUCUCCCCGAGAGCUACAGCUCAGGUCUGUGCUCUGGGCAUGGAGAAAAGGAGGAGGGCGAUUAAAGAAGGUGGCGGCUGCCAGCUGCUGCUUCAAACAAAAUAGAUCCACAUUUACAAAGGCACCAGGGCUGGUUGCCUAGCAACAACUUUCUACCUCCCCAAGCUGCUCUACCCCAUCCUUAACCCACCGCACAUCACACACUCCCCUUGGCCCGCAGUGCCCUCUGAGACAUCCCCCUUCGAGGCCGCCUUUGUUCAUUUUAACCUGAUUUGCUGGGCAAAUGCUCGCAGCUUGCAACUUGCAGAGAGCCCAGGAAACACGCAAUUCAUGCCACAGAUGGCCCUGGGGCAGGCCGAACAGAGCCCUCCUCCCUGCACGGCCCAGACCUUGGCACUCGCAGGAUAUCUAAUGCUGUGGGAAGGAGAAGGUCUCAAUUUCAGGCUCUUUGUCAGAUCCCUGAAGGUUUAAAAAAAGAGUUUUGUGUUUCACAUAUGUCAGGUUCUUUAAAUAGUUCUUUGAAAUAAAAGUUUGAUUGGGAUAGAACGAAAGUAGACUGUCUGGAUUUCUUUUUUCAUCUUAUCCCCCAUGUUUGAAGUUAGAGCCUCUUAAAUUUAAACUUAUCUUCAGUUCCACCAAUCCAAAAGGCCUUGGGGCUAUUUUUGUCCUAGACUCUUAAAGGGAGGUAGGACAAGGCAGAAUACAUAGUUCUCUGAGCUCUACUUUCCAGCAGAAAUGACAAGGGACAGCCGUAGUGUAGCCCCCGGCAAGUCCAGAAGUUUCCGACUUCAUGGGAAGUGAUGCUGACCUGAGAGCUGCAUUAUCACUCUCGGGGGCUCUGAGCACUUUUGUGACCAUGGGUCCCUUUAUCCACAAAAAGAAAAAAAAGAAAGAAAAGAAAAAAAUA